rnacentral:rRNA from 1 species
UCCGACUAGUAGGGUUGGGGGUUUUCGGGGGAAAAAGGAAUUUUCGGACCCGGGUUUUCCGGGUUUUUGGGGUUUUUGGGUUUUUUUGGGGGGGUAGGGGGUAAGGGUCGGGUCCGUCCGGGCCCGGUACCUUACUACGACGUUCGUUUGGUUGGGGUUGGGGUAGUAGCGCGUCCAAGGCGUUGACGGGUAGCCGGCCUGAGAGGGUGGCGGUCACACUGGGACUGAGACACGGCCCAGACUCCUACGGGAGGCAGCAGUGGGGAAUAUUGCACAAUGGGCGCAAGCCUGAUGCAGCGACGCCGCGUGAGGGAUGGAGGCCUUCGGGUUGUGAACCUCUUUCGCCAGUGAAGAGCGCGCUCUUUGUGGUGGGUUGACGGUAGCUGGGUAUAGAAGCGCCGGCUAACUAC